GUUUCACGUCGGCAGGGGAUUUCCAAAAAACGAACACGGAGAGAAGGCAAAAUAAUGUAAAAUAUGAUGAAUAUAAGGAAAGAAAGUCUGUUGUUUUACGAAUUAGAAGCACAUUUUAACAGUUCAAUUUAGUCUACAGGAAUAAAAGAAAAAAAAACAUACUCCAAUAGCAGUAGGAUUCAGAAGCAACGGCCGUUCCCAACACCGUCACUAGCUCCUACAGUCACAUCCAUGAAGAGUAACAAGUCGAUGGAUCGACCAGUAAAAUUCACAGAUUGGCCAGAUUGGGAAUAUCACAGGUAAUUCCAUUCAGAUUAUGAUACUUUAAAGUCUUUGUAGUGUAAAAUGUUUUUUUAUUAAUGGUAUAUUUCACAAUUUGUUGUAUUUAGGUCCUACAUCU
rnacentral:lncRNA from 1 species